UACGAAGGGGGCUAGCGUUGUUCGGAAUCACUGGGCGUAAAGCGUAUGUAGGCGGAUCGUUAAGUCGGGGGUGAAAUCCCGAGGCUCAACCUCGGAACUGCCUUCGAUACUGGCGAUCUUCGAGUCCGGGAGAGGUGAGUGGAACUCCGAGUGUAGAGGUGAAAUUCGUAGAUAUUCGCAAGAACACCAGUGGCGAAGGCGGCUCACUGGCCCGAUACUGACGCUGAGGCACGAAAGCGUGGGGAGCAAACAGG
rnacentral:rRNA from 1 species